rnacentral:rRNA from 1 species
UACGGAGGGUGCGAGCGUUGUUCGGAAUCACUGGGCGUAAAGGGAGCGUAGGCGGGCUUCUAAGUUAGAUGUUUAAUCCCGGGGCCCAACCCCGGACAGGCACCUAAAACUGGAAGUCUUGAAUAGUGGAGAGGACGGCGGAAUUGGGGGUGUAGCGGUGGAAUGCGUAGAGAUCCCCAAGAACACCAGUUGCGAAGGCGGCCGUCUGGACACAUAUUGACGCUGAGGCUCGAAAGCAUGGGGAGCAAACAGG